AGUAGCAUGCUCAAGACCCGAAGCGGAGUGAUCUAGCCAUGGGCAGGUUGAAGCGCGGGUAAGACCGUGUGGAGGACCGAACCCACCAGGGUUGAAAACCUGGGGGAUGACCUGUGGUUAGGGGUGAAAGGCCAAUCAAACUCCGUGAUAGCUGGUUCUCCCCGAAAUGCAUUUAGGUGCAGCGUCGUGUGUUUCUUGCCGGAGGUAGAGCACUGGAUAGGCGAUGGGCCCUACCGGGUUACUGACCUUAGCCAAACUCCGAAUGCCGGUAAGUGAGAGCGCGGCAGUGAGACUGUGGGGGAUAAGCUCCAUGGUCGAGAGGGAAACAGCCCAGAGCAUCGACUAAGGCCCCUAAGCGUACGCUAAGUGGGAAAGGAUGUGGAGUCGCAGAGACAACCAGGAGGUUGGCUUAGAAGCAGCCAUCCUUGAAAGAGUGCGUAAUAGCUCACUGGUCAAGUGAUUCCGCGCCGACAAUGUAGCGGGGCUCAAGCGUACCGCCGAAGUCGUGUCAAUCCAGCAUGUGCCCUUAACGGGGGCUGGGUUGGGUAGGGGAGCGUCGUGUGCCGGGUGAAGCUGCGCCGGAAGGCAGUGGUGGACGGUUCACGAGUGAGAAUGCAGGCAUGAGUAGCGAUACACACGUGGGAAACGUGUGCGCCGAUUGACUAAGGGUUCCUGGGUCAAGCUGAUCUGCCCAGGGUAAGUCGGGACCUAAGGCGAGGCCGACAGGCGUAGUCGAUGGACAACCGGUUGAUAUUCCGGUACCCGCUUUGAAGCGCCAGCGCUGAACCAGGCGAUGCUAAGUCCGUGAAGCCGCCGGCUGAGUCUUCGGACGAGGUCGGAGUGGUGGAGCCGACGGUCCAGACCUGUAGUAGGUGAGUGAUGGGGUGACGCAGGAAGGUAGUCCAGCCCGGGCGGUGGUUGUCCCGGGGUAAGGGUGUAGGACGCCAGGUAGGUAAAUCCGUCUGGCAUGUAAGUCUGAGACCUGAUGCCGAGCCGAUUGUGGUGAAGUGGAUGAUCCUAUGCUGUCGAGAAAAGCCUCUAGCGAGUUUCAUGGCGGCCCGUACCCUAAACCGACUCAGGUGGUCAGGUAGAGAAUACCGAGGCGUUCGGGUGAACUAUGGUUAAGGAACUCGGCAAAAUGCCCCCGUAACUUCGGGAGAAGGGGGGCCAUUUCCGGUGAUGGCAUGUGCUGCUUGAGCUGGGGGUGGCCGCAGAGACCAGCGAGAAGCGACUGUUUACUAAAAACACAGGUCCGUGCGAAGCCGUAAGGCGAUGUAUACGGACUGACGCCUGCCCGGUGCUGGAACGUUAAGGGGACCGGUUAGUGGGGUUUCGAUCCUGCGAAGCUGAGAACUUAAGCGCCAGUAAACGGCGGUGGUAACUAUAACCAUCCUAAGGUAGCGAAAUUCCUUGUCGGGUAAGUUCCGACCUGCACGAAUGGCGUAACGACUUCUCGACUGUCUCAACCAUAGGCCCGGUGAAAUUGCACUACGAGUAAAGAUGCUCGUUUCGCGCAGCAGGACGGAAAGACCCCGGGACCUUUACUAUAGCUUGAUAUUGGUGUUCGGUUCGGCUUGUGUAGGAUAGGUGGGAGACUGUGAAGCGGCCACGCCAGUGGUUGUGGAGUCGUCGUUGAAAUACCACUCUGGUCGUGCUGGAUGUCUAACCUGGGUCCGUGAUCCGGAUCAGGGACAGUGUCUGGUGGGUAGUUUAACUGGGGCGGUUGCCUCCUAAAGGGUAACGGAGGCGCCCAAAGGUUCCCUCAGCCUGGUUGGUAAUCAGGUGUUGAGUGUAAGUGCACAAGGGAGCUUGACUGUGAGACCGACGGGUCGAGCAGGGACGAAAGUCGGGACUAGUGAUCCGGCGGUGGCUUGUGGAAGCGCCGUCGCUCAACGGAUAAAAGGUACCCCGGGGAUAACAGGCUGAUCUUCCCCAAGAGUCCAUAUCGACGGGAUGGUUUGGCACCUCGAUGUCGGCUCGUCGCAUCCUGGGGCUGGAGUCGGUCCCAAGGGUUGGGCUGUUCGCCCAUUAAAGCGGUACGCGAGCUGGGUUUAGAACGUCGUGAGACAGUUCGGUCCCUAUCCGCUGUGCGCGUAGGAGUCUUGAGAAGGGCUGUCCCUAGUACGAGAGGACCGGGACGGACGAACCUCUGGUGUGCCAGUUGUCCUGCCAAGGGCAUGGCUGGUUGGCUACGUUCGGGAGGGAUAACCGCUGAAAGCAUCUAAGCGGGAAGCCUGCUUCGAGAUGAGGGCUCCCACCCACUUGAUGGGUUAAGGCUCCCAGUAGACGACUGGGUUGAUAGGCCAGAUAUGGAAGACCGGUAACGGUUGGAGUUGACUGGUACUAAUAGGCCGAGGGCUUGUCCUCAGUUG
rnacentral:rRNA from 1 species